rnacentral:rRNA from 1 species
GAUGAACGCUAGCGGCAGGCUUAAUACAUGCAAGUCGAGGGGCAGCAUGAAUGUAGCAAUACAUUUGAUGGCGACCGGCAAACGGGUGCGGAACACGUACACAACCUUCCUAUAAGUGGGGAAUAGCCCAGAGAAAUUUGGAUUAAUACCCCGUAACAUAAUGAUGUGGCAUCACAUUAUUAUUAUAGCUUCGGCGCUUAUUGAUGGGUGUGCGGCUGAUUAGAUAGUUGGCGGGGUAACGGCCAACCAAGUCUACGAUCAGUAGCUGAUGUGAGAGCAUGAUCAGCCACACGGGCACUGAGACACGGGCCCGACUCCUACGGGAGGCAGCAGUAAGGAAUAUUGGUCAAUGGACGCAAGUCUGAACCAGCCAUGCCGCGUGAAGGAUUAAGGUCCUCUGGAUUGUAAACUUCUUUUAUCUGGGACGAAAAAAGGCUAUUCUUAGUCACUUGACGGUACCAGAUGAAUAAGCACCGGCUAACUCCGUGCCAGCCGCCGCGGUAACAC